GACGAACGCUGGCGGCGUGCUUAACACAUGCAAGUCGAACGGUGACGCUGGAGCUUGCUCCAGCUGAUCAGUGGCGAACGGGUGAGUAACGCGUGAGCAACCUGCCCUUGACUCUGGGAUAACCCCGGGAAACCGGAGCUAAUACCGGAUACGAACCGCACAGGCAUCUGCGUGGUUGGAAAGUUUUUCGGUCAAGGAUGGGCUCGCGGCCUAUCAGCUUGUUGGUGGGGUAACGGCCCACCAAGGCGACGACGGGUAGCCGGCCUGAGAGGGCGACCGGCCACACUGGGACUGAGACACGGCCCAGACUCCUACGGGAGGCAGCAGUGGGGAAUAUUGCACAAUGGGCGAAAGCCUGAUGCAGCGACGCCGCGUGAGGGAUGAAGGCCUUCGGGUUGUAAACCUCUUUCAGCAGGGAAGAAGCGAAAGUGACGGUACCUGCAGAAGAAGCACCGGCUAACUACGUGCCAGCAGCCGCGGUAAGAC
rnacentral:rRNA from 1 species